ACGGGUGUAGCUCAGUUGGUAGAGCGCUGGUCUCCAAAACCAGAUGUCGGGAGUUCGAGUCUCUCCUCCCGUG
rnacentral:tRNA from 1 species